rnacentral:rRNA from 1 species
UACAGAGGGUGCAAGCGUUAAUCGGAAUUACUGGGCGUAAAGCGUGCGUAGACGGUCAUGUAAGUCGGGUGUGAAAGCCCCGGGCUCAACCUGGGAAUUGCAUUCGAGACUGCAUGGCUAGGAUGCGGAAGAGGGAAGCGGAAUUUCCGGUGUAGCGGUGAAAUGCGUAGAUAUCGGAAGGAACAUCAGUGGCGAAAGCGACUUCCUGGACCAGUACCGACGUCAGGCACGAAAGCGUGGGGAGCAAACAGG